rnacentral:rRNA from 1 species
GGGUCAGUAGGUUGGUCGUGCCACCGGUACGUACUGGUCUCACUGAUUCCUCCUUCCUGAAGAACCGUAAUGCCAUUAAUUUGGUGUUGCGGGGAAACAGGACUGUUACUUUGAAAAAAUUAGAGUGUUUAAAGCAAGCUAACGCUUGAAUACGAUAGCAUGGAAUAAUGAAAUAGGACGAUCGAUCCUAUUUUGUUGGUUUCUAGGAUUGACGUA